rnacentral:rRNA from 1 species
GGUUAUACUAAUAAUACAAUAAAAAAUAAUUGGUUAUAAUUAAUGGAAAAUUAUUUUGAAUUGAUUUUUAGUUUUAUAAAGUGAAAUUUUUAAAAUUAUAAUAAGUUUGAAUUUGUUAUAUGAGGUUAAUAAAUUUAGGAAAGAAACUAGGAUUAGAUACCCUAUUAUUCUAAACGGAAUAUAUUUACCAAAUUAGUAGUAGUUAUGGUCUUGAAAAUUAAAAAAGUUGGCGGUAUUUUAGUCUAUUCAGAGGAACCUGUCCUAUAAUCGAUGAUCCACGAUUUUUAUUACUUACUUUAUUAGUUUAUAUAUCGCCGUAGUUUGAAUAUUUUUUAAAAAAAGUAAUAUUCAAAAUAUUUUAUAAAAGAGUAAUUCAGGUCAAGGUGUAGCUUAUAAGUAAGAAGAGAUGGGUUACAUUAAAUUUAUUUAUAUGAAUUAAUAAGUGAAAUUUUUUAUGAAAGUGGAUUUGAAAGUAAUUUUAUUUAUAUAGGUAAGAUGAUUUUAGCUCUAAAAUAUGUACAUA